rnacentral:rRNA from 1 species
CCCACUGCUAUCGGGAUAGGACUAAGACAUGCUAGUCGAGUGACUCAGGCAAAACGAGUCACGGCACACAGCUCAGUAACACGUGGCUAAUCUGCCCUUGGGACUAGAACAACCCCGGGAAACUGGGGCUAACUCUAGAUAGGUGAAGAACUCUGGAAUGAGUCUUUGCCUAAAUAGGUUCACGUUAUCCUCGUGAACUUGCCCAAGGAUGAGGCCGCGACCGAUCAGGUUGUUGGCGAGGUAAUGGCUCACCAAGCCUUUUACCGGUGCGGGCCGUGGGAGCGGGAGCCCGGAGAUGGGUACUGAGACAAGGACCCAGGCCCUACGGGGCGCAGCAGUCGCGAAACCUUUGCAAUAACCGAAAGGUUGACAGGGCUAUCCCGAGUGCCAUCCGCUGAGGAAGGCUUUUACCCAGUCUAGAACGCUGGGGGAAUAAGGAGAGGGCAAGUCUGGUGUCAGCCGCCGCGGUAAUACCAGCUCUCCGAGUGGUGUGGAUGUUUAUUGGGCCUAAAGCAUCCGUAGCUGGCUAGGUAAGUCCCUUGUUAAAUCCACCGAAUUAAUCGUUGGAUCGCGGGGGAUACUGCUUGGCUAGGGGACGAGAGAGGCAGACGGUAUUUUCGGGGUAGGGGUGAAACCCUAUAAUCCCGGGAAGACCACCAGUGGCGAAGGCUGUCUGCUAGAACGCGCCCGACGGUGAGGGAUGAAAGCUGGGGGAGCGAACCGGAUUAGAUACCCGGGUAGUCCCAGCUGUAAACGAUGCAGACUAGGUGUUUGGACGGCCACGUGCCGUUCUAGUGCCGCAGGGAAGCUGUUAAGUCUGCCGCCUGGGGAGUACGAUCGCAAGAUUGAAACUUAAAGGAAUUGGCGGGGGAGCACCACAAGGGGUGAAGCUUGCGGUUUAAUUGGAUUCAACGC